rnacentral:rRNA from 1 species
AGUGAACGUUGGCGGCGUGGAUUAGGCAUGUAAGUCGAGCGAGAACCGUAGCAAUACGGGGGCAGCGGCGAAAGGGACAGUAAUGUGUAGGUACCUACCCCGGGGUCUGGGAUAGCUGCGGGAAACUGCAGGUAAUACCGGAUAAUGUCUUCGGACCAAAGGUGUGAUUCCACCUUGGGAGGGGCCUGCAUCCUAUUAGCUUGUUGGCGGGGUAACGGCCCACCAAGGCAACGAUGGGUAGCGGGUGUGAGAGCACGACCCGCGUCAUUGGGACUGAGAUACUGCCCAGACACCUACGGGUGGCUGCAGUCGAGGAUCUUCGGCAAUGGGCGAAAGCCUGACCGAGCGACGCCGCGUGCGGGAUGAAGGCCUUCGGGUUGUAAACCGCUGUCGUAGAGGAGGAAAUGCAGGGGGGUUCUCCCUUCUGUUUGACCUAUUCUAGGAGGAAGGACGGGCUAAGUUCGUGCCAGCAGCCGCGGUAA